GUAGGGAAUCUUCCACAAUGGACGAAAGUCUGAUGGAGCAACGCCGCGUGAACGAUGAAGGCCCUCGGGUCGUAAAGUUCUGUUGUAAGGGAAGAACAAGUGCCGCAGGCAAUGGCGGCACCUUGACGGUACCUUGCGAGAAAGCCACGGCUAACUACGUGCCAGCAGCCGCGGUAAUACGUAGGUGGCAAGCGUUGUCCGGAAUUAUUGGGCGUAAAGCGCGCGCAGGCGGCCUCUUAAGUCUGAUGUGAAAGCCCCCGGCUCAACCGGGGAGGGCCAUUGGAAACUGGGAGGCUUGAGUAUAGGAGAGAAGAGUGGAAUUCCACGUGUAGCGGUGAAAUGCGUAGAGAUGUGGAGGAACACCAGUGGCGAAGGCGACUCUUUGGCCUAUAACUGACGCUGAGGCGCGAAAGCGUGGGGAGCAA
rnacentral:rRNA from 1 species